GGAGUCUUCCCGAUUCUGGUACAGAAUAUUUGGGAAGCUGAAUAUUCCACCAGAAUGCCACAACAUCUUCUCAUAAGGACUAUCCGCCAUCUCCGUACAUGGCAGAAUUAGGAGUGUGAUGGACUACACCAAUUACCUGAAUAAGUGCAACUCCAACAACUUUGAAGAAAUGUUACUUAUCCAGCAGUCUACUUGGUA